GAUGCUAGUCCGCUUCACCGCCCUCUGAGACAUCCUUACAUCUCUUUUUUUAACUGGUUCUUCAGCACUCUUUCUACACACUGUAUAUUUAAAUUCAGUAGGGGAAUCUGGAGUAAGUUGAAAAACCUCCUGUUGCUAGGAAACGGUAAAAAACCUUGAUCAUGUGACCAAAUAGCUAGGAGGAAGGAAAAGGAAUCAUUUGAUGAAGUUUGUAAAGGCUGCCAACACUGAGUUAAGGGUCUUCGUUCCACCCUGAGGGCGAAACUUAAGGACCAGACAAUCUGCCAUGACAUCAAGUGCAUUCCCUCUAUAGAAGGAAGAAAUGUGACCUUCACUCAAGACAGAACUAUUUUAAGAUGAUCCUCUUUCUCAGCUGCUGCAGCAUAAAGUCACUCCUCUCUCUAACACUGUUCCUACUUGUUUUCACGUCAUGAAUACGAUCUUUUUUUAUUUACAUUGAGUAAAACGUUAAUAAAAAAAACUUCAGGGAAAAACCAACACCAACAGAGAGGGGAGAAGAGAUUAAAGGAAAGAGUGAAGCAGGAAGUGAGAGACAGAGGGAUAGAAAUCACAUGCGGAGGCAGGAAUUCAUGUCUCGAAUGACACAAAGGAAUUCAUCACAACAUGGCUCCUCUAUUAACCCUUUAACAGCGUUUUUACCAGCGCUGCACUGACCAGCUCAGCAGAUGUGCAGUUCCACCAGAUGUUUGCUAAUUGCUGCUGGCUAGUCUGAAGGAGCCAUGUGGGGGGAGACGGCUGCUCUGCUGCAGGGAGGAA